GCCUGCGAAGGUGUGCUGUGAGGCAUGCUGGAGGUAUCAGAAGUGCGAAUGCUGACAUAAGUAACGAUAAAGCGGGUGAAAAGCCCGCUCGCCGGAAGACCAAGGGUUCCUGUCCAACGUUAAUCGGGGCAGGGUGAGUCGACCCCUAAGGCGAGGCCGAAAGGCGUAGUCGAUGGGAAACAGGUUAAUAUUCCUGUACUUGGUGUUACUGCGAAGGGGGGACGGAGAAGGCUAUGUUGGCCGGGCGACGGUUGUCCCGGUUUAAGCGUGUAGGCUGGUUUUCCAGGCAAAUCCGGAAAAUCAAGGCUGAGGCGUGAUGACGAGGCACUACGGUGCUGAAGCAACAAAUGCCCUGCUUCCAGGAAAAGCCUCUAAGCAUCAGGUAACAUCAAAUCGUACCCCAAACCGACACAGGUGGUCAGGUAGAGAAUACCAAGGCGCUUGAGAGAACUCGGGUGAAGGAACUAGGCAAAAUGGUGCCGUAACUUCGGGAGAAGGCACGCUGAUAUGUAGGUGAAGUCCCUCGCGGAUGGAGCUGAAAUCAGUCGAAGAUACCAGCUGGCUGCAACUGUUUAUUAAAAACACAGCACUGUGCAAACACGAAAGUGGACGUAUACGGUGUGACGCCUGCCCGGUGCCGGAAGGUUAAUUGAUGGGGUCAGCGCAAGCGAAGCUCUUGAUCGAAGCCCCGGUAAACGGCGGCCGUAACUAUAACGGUCCUAAGGUAGCGAAAUUCCUUGUCGGGUAAGUUCCGACCUGCACGAAUGGCGUAAUGAUGGCCAGGCUGUCUCCACCCGAGACUCAGUGAAAUUGAACUCGCUGUGAAGAUGCAGUGUACCCGCGGCAAGACGGAAAGACCCCGUGAACCUUUACUAUAGCUUGACACUGAACAUUGAGCCUUGAUGUGUAGGAUAGGUGGGAGGCUUUGAAGUGUGGACGCCAGUCUGCAUGGAGCCGACCUUGAAAUACCACCCUUUAAUGUUUGAUGUUCUAACGUUGACCCGUGAUCCGGGUUGCGGACAGUGUCUGGUGGGUAGUUUGACUGGGGCGGUCUCCUCCUAAAGAGUAACGGAGGAGCACGAAGGUUGGCUAAUCCUGGUCGGACAUCAGGAGGUUAGUGCAAUGGCAUAAGCCAGCUUGACUGCGAGCGUGACGGCGCGAGCAGGUGCGAAAGCAGGUCAUAGUGAUCCGGUGGUUCUGAAUGGAAGGGCCAUCGCUCAACGGAUAAAAGGUACUCCGGGGAUAACAGGCUGAUACCGCCCAAGAGUUCAUAUCGACGGCGGUGUUUGGCACCUCGAUGUCGGCUCAUCACAUCCUGGGGCUGAAGUAGGUCCCAAGGGUAUGGCUGUUCGCCAUUUAAAGUGGUACGCGAGCUGGGUUUAGAACGUCGUGAGACAGUUCGGUCCCUAUCUGCCGUGGGCGCUGGAGAACUGAGGGGGGCUGCUCCUAGUACGAGAGGACCGGAGUGGACGCAUCACUGGUGUUCGGGUUGUCAUGCCAAUGGCACUGCCCGGUAGCUAAAUGCGGAAGAGAUAAGUGCUGAAAGCAUCUAAGCACGAAACUUGCCCCGAGAUGAGUUCUCCCUGACUCCUUGAGAGUCCUGAAGGAACGUUGAAGACGACGACGUUGAUAGGCCGGGUGUGUAAGCGCAGCGAUGCGUUGAGCUAACCGGUACUAAUGAACCGUGAGGCUUAACCUU
rnacentral:rRNA from 1 species